rnacentral:rRNA from 1 species
UACGUAGGUGGCAAGCGUUGUCCGGAUUUAUUGGGUUUAAAGGGUGCGUAGGCGGUUUAUUAAGUCAGUGGUGAAAGACGAUAGCUCAACUAUCGAGGUGCCAUUGAUACUGAUGAACUUGAGUGCAGUCGAAGUAGGCGGAAUGGACGGUGUAGCGGUGAAAUGCAUAGAUAUCGUCCAGAACACCGAUAGUGAAGACAGCUUACUAGGCUGUAACUGACGCUGAGGCACGAAAGUGUGGGGAUCAAACAGGAUUAGAUACCCUGGUAGUCCACACUGUAAACGUUGAUAACUCGCUGUUGGCGAUAUACAGCCAGCGGCCAAGCGCAAGCGAUAAGUUAUCCACCUGGGGAGUACGCCGGCAACGGUG